rnacentral:lncRNA from 1 species
UGGCAUUGGCUUUUCAUGACGCGGUGGGUUAUAAUUUGGUGGUAAUUUCUUAUGAGGUGGCGCAAACUCUGGUGGUGGAUUUUCAUGUGGUGAUUUUUCGUGAGGAGGUUGAUACUUUGUUGAUGGAGGUGGUGGUUGGUACUCUGGCAACGAGAUUUCUUGUGGUGGUUUUUCAUGAGGUGGGUGAUGCGUAGGUGGUGUAUUUUCAUGAGGUGGUUUCUCAUGUGGAGGUUUGUACUCUGGAGGUGGAUUUUCUUGUGGUGGUUGGUACUCUGGAGGGGGAUGUUCAUGUGGUGGUUUUUCAUGAGGUGGUUUGUAUUCUGGUGGUGGAUGCACAUGUGGUGGUUGGUUCUCUGGAGGCGGAUGUUCAUAAUGAGGUGGUUUUUCAUGAGGUGGUUGAUACUCUGGUGGUGGAUUUUCAUGAGGUGGGUUCUCAUGCGGAGGUUGGUGCUCUGGUGGUGGAUGCACAUGAGGUGGUUGAUAUUCUGGUGGUGGAUGUUCAUGUGGUGGCUUUUCAUGAGGUGGUUGGUACUCUGAUGGUGGCUUCAUUUGUGGUGGUUUCUCAUGAGGUGGUUGGUACUCUUGUGGUGGUGGUUCAUAUGGUGAUUUUUCAUGAGGUGGUUUUAGAUAAGGAGGUUGGUACUCAGGUGGUGGAUGCACAUGUGGCGGUUUUUCGUGAGGUGGUUGGUACUCCGGCGGUGGAUGUUCAUGAGGUGGUUGAUACUCUGGUGGUGGAUGCACAUGUGGUGGUUUCUCAUGAGGUGGUUGAUACUCAGGUGGUGGAUGCUCAUGUGGUGGUUUCUCGUGAGGUGGUUGGUACUCUGGAGGUGGAUGUUCAUGCGGUGGUUUUUCAUGAGGUGGUUGAUACUCUGGUGGUGAACUUUCAUGUGGUGGUUUUUCGUGAGGUGGUUGGUAUUCUGGCGGCGGCUUCUCAUAAGGUGGUGUAUACUCAGGUGGUGGCUUUUCAUGAGGUGGCUGGUACUCAGGCGGUGGUUUUUCAUGAUGAGGUGGUUGAUACUCUGGUGGUGGUUUCUCAUAAGGUGGUUUGUAUUCUGGCGGUGGGUUCUCAUAUGGUGGUUUUCCAUGAUGAGGUGGCUCAUAUUCUGGUGAUGGAUUCUCACGAGGUGGUUGAUAUUCUCGUG